rnacentral:lncRNA from 1 species
GGCUUCUCACCCGGGUAUUUAAAACCCCUGGGCAGAUCGAUCCAUUUAAAUAUUUAAUUAUAAUCUACAUACCUGAAGCAGAAGAGGAAGCUGUGGGCUCCCAGUGGGGCAGGUCCUUUAACCCGUGAACUUUGAUCCUGGGCCCAAAGGUCAGCCAUCAGCCCCUCAUCCAGCAGCCUGCCCAGUGCUUAAUUACCCAAUUAAUGCGUGGUUUUAUAGUCGGGUGGUUUAAGGGACUGUGUGAGAAGAGCGUGGGCCGCCAGGGCUGCAGCCUUCCGUCAUGGCCCUGUGGUUCUAAUGCACGAAUUAAAUAUCUGUCUCUUCUAAAAGUCAGUGCGUGAUUUAUUGGAAAAUUGGUGGAAACAGCCCUUGGGGGGUUGUGCUCAAAAUCUGGUUUAAAAGAGCGGCUGCUGGCUACGACUUUUUGAUUUCCUCUAUCCUAUUGAAUGUCAUUAGCCCUCUUUCAUGUAAAAUAAAUGUUUGAAUCCAGCUCAUAGAGGGCUUAUUUAUUCAUUUCGUUCCCUUCACUGCACACUAUCAUUACUUCUCUGUUGAUUCUCUUCUCUGGCAGAAUAGGAGCUAAACCCUUCCCUUCGAGGCGCGUAUCUGGGAUUCAGACGGUGCGAGGCCCCCUGUGCUUGCUCUCCCUCCGCUUCUCCCCACCCCCACCCGGAAGCCGGAGGUCGCGAAUUCAGUCCUGGUAAAUCAUGUGUAACUCCGGGACAGGAAGCACUCGGGUGUUAUUUUAUUUGUGAUUUGCUGUUAUUUAUUUAUUGAAGUGGCCUUUCCCCCAAAGGAGCACAGUAUGCAGAAAAACGGAAAGGAGGGACCUGCUCCAUCUUGUAAGCUGACAUGAAGAAAGCCACUGUCAUCAUUUUCAAAGGGGAAGAUGCUUCUCUGAUCAGACAGGCUGCCAGUCCUCAUGAGACCAGGAUGGGACCUUCUCUGGAGUUAGGCUAAGUCUAGGCCUGAAGGCUUCAUCAGCAUUGUGUUCUGCUGCCGACAAAGCGGUUCUGGAAUCCGCAGUGAGUGGCCACUCGAGAGCCAGGACCGAGCCUCGCCGCUAGGGGGAGUUCAGCUCGUAGGACCGGAAGUGCAAUUUAAUUUCUCAAACCUGGAAACCACAGGUGAGUGUGCUGUCUCAGGCUGGGAGGAGGAGGAGAGGACCAGCCUGACUCUGGCUGAAGAAGGGGCGGCCUGGGACGAAGGUGGAUGGGGCAGUCAGAGGGCACUGAAGAGCACA